rnacentral:rRNA from 1 species
CCAGAAAACUGCGGGACGCGGGCUUAAGUUUCGCGCUGAACGGACGCGGUGUCGGAACACACAGGGGUUUUCGUGUCCCCGGCGAGUAAUAUUUAGAAAGAAGGAGAGCGCCAGAGUGAGUAGGGAGAGGUAACGACGCCGGCUGGUCUCCCUGCGUCCGUCGCCUCGUGUGGCCGGUUCUAGGGGAAAACAGAAGGAGGGAGUCUAGAGGGUGGGACGUGUGUCGCUGAGUCGCUCCGAGUUGUAGCUGGGUAGGUAGGUACCGCCGGCACAGGAGGGUCAGGCCUCAGUUGCCGAAGCUGUACUGGCUGUAUCUUCUGGAGUGGUUGUAUUCGGUGUACGACGCGAGGGACGAAGGCAAACGGAGCGGCGGCCUCCAUCGUGUCGACCGCAAACGCGACACCCACGACCCGAGGUGGUGGGAACAGGACCGGGACUGGCGGGACAAGGUGGACGGCGGGCGUCCUGGGCAGAAACCGGCGACGCGACGUCGGAUGAUGCGGUAAGAGCCCCAGCAGGAGGAGCAGCGGCACGGCCACCUCGACGACUGGCGCGAGACGGACGCGGUGUCGGCGCUCCCGGCGGAGGAGCGGAAGCGGAGGAUGGACGACGGGACACGAGUGCACGAGGAGGAGGAGCAGUAGAGCUAACGAAACUCAUGUGUACUCAACAGGUUCAUAACCUAAGACUAAAAAAAUCAUGUUAAUUGACCGGACGCGUCGGUGUUAAAGGUGCACCAGUCGUGGUUACAGAACGGCUUCGUCGCGAGUCGCACAGUCCAGCCGAAGGACGUCAUGCCGAAGAGGGUGUGUCACCACCUCUAGGACGUCAGUGAACUGCACGAGUGGUUACUCCACGAUGUGGUCCUCGAGUUCCUCAUGAGGUCGACCGGGUGGAAGGGCGUCGUGAUGCAACUGCCACUCAAGAAGACGCCCUGCUGUAGUGCCAGCCGCAGCAAGAGGGAGUACCCCCGUAACAAAAACCUCGUCGCCGACCUACUUCCUCUGUUCACCAACUCGCCAAAAAGUAAAUGGUGUAGUUUCUGCCGCCUAGAGCCGCCGCACCACGUUACCCCUAAGCCACAGGCUACGUUCCUCUACCUGAGCGCGUCCUCCUCCUGCGACAGACCGCAGUACCACCGCAGCUACCGUCUCUCCGCAUCGCUCCAGCCGAGCCUGAUAGCCGUGUGGAAGUAGUUCACCUAUCUUUAUCACUGUAUACAACGAUCCUACCACCGAAGUCUGAUAGACUACAUGAUGAAACCAAAUAACUUAUCAGGUACGGGUUCUUGAGUCGGUUUUGACAAUCCUGAACGCUCACUACAUGAGUAAUCAUUGUGUUUGGUGACAAACCAAGUACUUGGGUUCACACGACGUCGUGGAAUGUGGAUGUCCUAUCCAAUACCACAGAGUGUCUUAUGUCUGUCGUUCUACACGAGACGAAAGAACUAAUUGCGCCGGUGUCAAAGGUCCACCAGACGUUACUGCAGAACGGUUUCGUCGCGAGUUGCAAAGACCAGCCGAUGGGCGUCACACCGAAGAGGGUGUACCACCACGUCGUUGACGAAGUAGGACCUACAGGUGGCACAGGACUCGGAGACCGCGUGGGUGGGCGAUCCGCGAUCGGCGUAGGAGCCGACGGAGUGGAUGAGAAAGCUGUUGGAGCGGUAGAAGCUGAGGCCUUUACUGGCCUCUUAGAGGUCCAAGGUCGAUUAACCCGGUUAUUGUAGGUAGCCGAUGCAAAGAUACUCGGGUCUGUUUUUCCUGCUUUUUAGGCUU